rnacentral:rRNA from 1 species
UACGUAGGGUGCAAGCGUUGUCCGGAAUCAUUGGGCGUAAAGAGCGUGUAGGCGGCUCGAUCAGUCUGCUGUGAAAGCCCAGGGCUCAACCCUGGGAUGCCGGUAGAUACUGUCGAGCUAGAGUCCGGAAGAGGCGAGUGGAAUUCCUGGUGUAGCGGUGAAAUGCGCAGAUAUCAGGAGGAACACCAAUGGCGAAGGCAGCGCGCUGGGACGGUACUGACGCUGAGACGCGAAAGCGUGGGGAGCAAACAGG